AGUGAACGCUGGCGGUAGGCCUAACACAUGCAAGUCGAACGGCAGCACAGUAAGAGCUUGCUCUUACGGGUGGCGAGUGGCGGACGGGUGAGGAAUACAUCGGAAUCUACUUUUUCGUGGGGGAUAACGUAGGGAAACUUACGCUAAUACCGCAUACGACCUACGGGUGAAAGCAGGGGAGCUUCGGCCCUUGCGCGAUUGAUUGAGCCGAUGUCGGAUUAGCUAGUUGGCGGGGUAAAGGCCCACCAAGGCGACGAUCCGUAGCUGGUCUGAGAGGAUGAUCAGGCACAGUGGAACUGAGACACGGUCCAGACUCCUACGGGAGGCAGCAGUGGGGAAUAUUGGACAAUGGGCGCAAGCCUGAUCCAGCCAUACCGCGUGGGUGAAGAAGGCCUUCGGGUUGUAAAGCCCUUUUGUUGGGAAAGAAAAGCAGCAGGUUAAUACCCCGCUGUUCUGACGGUACCCAAAGAAUAAGCACCGGCUAACUUCGUG
rnacentral:rRNA from 1 species